GCUGGUGUAGCUCAGCUGGUAGAGCAACUGACUUGUAAUCAGUAGGUCGACGGUUCAAUUCCGCCCACCAGCU
rnacentral:tRNA from 1 species